rnacentral:lncRNA from 1 species
GAAUGCAAUGAAGCCUUCAGGCAGAAGUCUGGUCUCUUUCAGCAUCAGCGACAUCACCAUAAAAGUAAACUGGCUUGAUGAGGUUCUUUGAAAUAUCGGGAUGUUACAUUGAUAAGCAAACAGUGCUUUAAACACCAGGGCUUCAGUAUUCUUGGAAGCCAUUUGCCUCCAUUGUUUCCCUCUCUUGACUUUACUGAAAGUCAUAAUUAAUUAGACUAUAAUAAUUUUACCCUAAGAGUGGAAUCAGAGUUAAACAAGUAUUCACUACAGAACUUCUCAGAUCUUUGGAUGUGAUAAGUACACGAUCAUUUAUCUCUUAAGUAUUAGCUUUAUGUAUGAAUGAAGUUUUUUAAAUCAGCAAGUCAAGUGCCUAUAGGUUUAUACAGAACAAGAUCAAGCUGAUAUUUUUGCAAGUACUGUAACAGCAGGCUCCUAAAAAAUAAAAGAGCUGGGGAGAUGGCUCAAUGGUUAAUCCAAGUUGCUAUGCAAAUGUAAGGACUGUUUUAGAUCCCCAGCACCCAUGUUGAAGUCUAAUGAGUAUAGUGGCCAGCCUGUGGCCUGUGGUUCCACUCCUCAGGUGGCAGAAAUGGGAUCUUUAGAGCAAGCUGGCUAGCCAGACUAGCUAUUAGCAAACUUAGAAUUCAGGUGGGAGAGUUUGGAGAGCAGUUGGAGUUAUCGAGAAAGACUCCUGAUGAUAAUCUAAGUACACAUGUAUCCAUACACUUUUACAGCCAUACAUGCAAACAUCAUACAUGUGAAAAGAAAAACCUAAGGAGCUAGAGUGAUGAGUCAGCAGUUAACACAUCUGCUCUUGCAGAGGACCCGUAGCGUUUUUAAUUCCUAACACCUCCAUAUCAUAGCAGCUCACAACCACCUGUAACCCCAGUUCCAGGGAUCUGAUGCCCUCUUCUGGCCUUCUCAGGUUCCUAUACACAGUGGUCCACAGAAACUGGUGGACACACCUAGAAAACUGGUAAAAUAUUUUUAGGCCCAAAAUUAAUAAUGCUUGGAAAUAUACAUUCUCAAGAGUUUAAUAUAGGUUGAACAUUUUCCCUAUUGAGUCCACACACACACUGGCUUCAUAUCCUCUUUACCCUUGUACCAUCAAUGAACACAUUUCUGAAAGCAAAGAUAGCUUUUGCUGUUUAACUAUAGAACCUAGCCUUAGGAUUAGCUCAUGUCAAUUUACAUUCCCUACCCAUUUGAACCAUGGUAUCACAGUUUUUCAAAUUAUAAAUCAAGUUUUACUUAAACUAUGCAAGAGACUUUGAGUCACUUGAUGAAUGAACUGUGUUGAAUUAUUCUAAGCAACAACUUGCUUACUGGGCAGUGCCAGUACAGUGACCACUUGAAGGAUACUUCUUAAUAAAUGUCCCAUAAGGGAAAAUGCUUUCUUUCCCUUUGAUACCAAUGAUGAAAAUUUAAAUGAUACUUAUUUUGAAAUCAUUUUGACCAUUAAAAUCAAAUCAGCUUGGAGAGAUGGUCAUGGUCUUCAUGCCGUAUUGACUGUCUCGCUAGUGAUGAAAAGUAGUAAGCUUGGAGCCUUCCCAAGCGCAUCACCAGACUGCUAAAGCAUAGUUUAUGGUUGGGAAUUGCACAGGGUGUACUUCUCCAAGACAAGGGCUUCUUAAGGUAUGCCGAUUUGGCAAGAUAAGAGGACCCUUGUAGUGAUUACGACUUGGUUUUACUACACUUGGCUUACAAAUAAAUAGCGACUUAGAAGAGCUUAUUUUUCUUGUCCGAUAGAAAAGGAUAGAGUCAGUCCAACACAGAUCUGUGGUAUCACUAGAUCUGAAUCUAGUCAACUUGCUGCCAGUCACAUCUAAAAGGGGACAGACCAAGGACUGUUAGGCAAAAUUCUAACAUUAAUCUUCACUUUCAUCCCCCUUUAGCCAAACUUUUAGCUCUGCACAGAGUAAGACCCUCCUCUUUGUCAAGAUUUUUGCCCUAAGAUCAAGGGGCUGGCAGAACCAAGAAGAACCUUUUUUUGACCAUACCUUGAUGUGAUGGUUGCACCUUUAGCAGUCAUAUGGCCUUAAAAACUGACAGCAUGGACUAUGGUCCUCAACACUACCAAAAUAACAGUGUUAGCAUGCGAUCAGUCUCCUUGAUGGUUAGCUCAUGUCCAUGCCAGAAUGUGCAUGUAACAGGCAUUUGUAACACUUGUAAUUCCUAAACCUCAGAAGAAAGCACCUGUUUAGUACAGGCUUUAUAUUUCUACUGUUGAACAUACUUUUAUGCAUUGAUUAAUCACGUAUCUAUCACUGUGUAAAAGUGAUGUCUUUUCUGGCCUUUCUCCUUUUAUUCCUAAACAGCAUGGUCCUUAAAAAUUAGAGAACUAUCAAAUUUUUAAAUGCACAUUACUUUUUGUCAGUUUGUGUGUGUAGUAUUUACCCAACAAAUAUAUUUAAAGCAAUGUAAAAACAUAAUUAUCGAUAGUGUAAAGAAAAUACUUUUCUAUAGAAAUAGUGAUAUUGACAGUAUUGUAAACAGUCUGUAAAGAGUUAAUGAAGUUUUGAAGUAAUUUUUGAAUAAAAUUAAAACUUUAAAAAGAAA